AGGCUCCAUUUUGCACUUUGGUUCUCAUAAUUCAUUUAAUUAGCUAUUUAGACCUCAAUAAUAGGUCAAAAAACAUUUGCUUCUAAGAAUUGUGCAAAGGAUCACAUUUUUAGCCCUUAAACAGUUAAACGUUACUAAAACAUUUUAGCCCUUUAAGAAUUGGGCAAAAAAAAAUCACCAAAAACAUUUUCCCCUCUAAGAAUUGGGCAAAAAACAUUUUUAGCCCUUAAAUUCUUUGACUGCAAGUUUCAUUUAAAUGCCACAAUAGUUA
rnacentral:lncRNA from 1 species